rnacentral:rRNA from 1 species
UACAGAGGGUGCUAGCGUUAAUCGGAAUUACUGGGCGUAAAGCGCGUGUAGGUGGAUAUUUAAGUCGGGUGUGAAAUCCCCGGGCUCAACCUGGGAAUUGCAUUCGAUACUGAACGUCUAGAGUAUGGUAGAGGAAGGUGGAACUUUCGGUGUAGCGGUGAAAUGCGUAGAUAUCGGAAAGAACACCAGUGGCGAAGGCGGCCUUCUGGACCAAUACUGACACUAAAGCGCGAAAGCGUGGGGAGCAAACAGG